rnacentral:miRNA from 1 species
UUCGUGUGUGUGUGUGUGUGUGUGUGUGUGUGUGCGCAUGCGUGCGUGCGUGCACACACAUGCACACAAACACACACACGUGAG